GUGGGGAAUCUUGCGCAAUGGGCGAAAGCCUGACGCAGCCAUGCCGCGUGAAUGAUGAAGGUCUUAGGAUUGUAAAAUUCUUUCACCGGGGACGAUAAUGACGGUACCCGGAGAAGAAGCCCCGGCUAACUCCGUGCCAGCAGCCGCGGUAAUACGGAGGGGGCUAGCGUUGUUCGGAAUUACUGGGCGUAAAGCGCACGUAGGCGGAUCAGAAAGUCAGAGGUGAAAUCCCAGGGCUCAACCUUGGAACUGCCUUUGAUACUGGCUGUCUUGAGUUUGGGAGAGGUGAGUGGAACUCCGAGUGUAGAGGUGAAAUUCGUAGAUAUUCGGAAGAACACCAGUGGCGAAGGCGACUCACUGGCCCAAUACUGACGCUGAGGCGCGAAAGCGUGGGGAGCAAACAGGAUUAGAUACCCUAGUAGUCC
rnacentral:rRNA from 1 species